GAUGAACGCUAGCGGCAGGCUUAAUACAUGCAAGUCGAGGGGUGGUAACAAUACUACACCGGCGCACGGGUGCGUAACGCGUAUGCAAUCUACCUUUAUCUGGGGGAUAGCCCGGGGAAACCCGGAUUGAUACCGCAUAACAAAUUUCUUGGCAUCAAGAGAUUUUAAAAGAUUUAUCGGAUAGAGAUGAGCAUGCGUAAGAUUAGAUAGUUGGCGAGGUAACGGCUCACCAAGUCUACGAUCUUUAGGGGCUCUGAGAGGAGAAUCCCCCACACUGGCACUGAGAUACGGGCCAGACUCCUACGGGAGGCAGCAGUAGGGAAUAUUGGGCAAUGGGCGCAAGCCUGACCCAGCCACGCCGCGUUCAGGAAGAAGGCCCUCUGGGUUGUAAACUGCUUUUGACUGGGAAGAAAAGACUCCUUGCGAGGAGAGUUGACGGCACCAGCAGAAUAAGCCACGGCUAACUACGUGCCAGCCGCCGCGGUAACAC
rnacentral:rRNA from 1 species